CGGGGAGUGGCUCAGUCUGGUAGAGCGCAGCGUUCGGGACGCUGAAGUCGGAGGUUCGAAUCCUCUCUUCCCGACCA
rnacentral:tRNA from 2 species